rnacentral:rRNA from 1 species
GAUGAACGCUGGCGGCGUGCCUAAUACAUGCAAGUCGAGCGAACAGACGCUGAGCUUGCUCCUCUGACGUUAGCGGCGGACGGGUGAGUAACACGUGGAUAACCUACCUAUCAUACUGGUAUAACUUCGGGAAACCGGAGCUAAUACCGGAUAAUAUAUUGCACCGCAUUGUUCAAUAGUGAAAGUCGGUUUUUCUGUCUCUUCUAGCUGCUUCCGCGCCGCAUUGGCUAGUUGUUAAGGUAACGGCGUACCAAGGCAACGAUGCGUAGCCGACCUGAGAGGGUGAUCGGCCACACUGGAACUGAGACACGGUCCAGACUCCUAAGGGAGGCAGCAGUAGGGAAUCUUCCGCAAUGGGCGAAAGCCUGACGGAGCAACGCCGCGUGAGUGAUGAAGGUCUUCGGAUCGUAAAACUCUGUUAUUAGGGAAGAACAAAUGUGUAAGUAACUAUGCACGUCUUGACGGUACCUAAUCAGAAAGCCACGGCUAACUACGUG